AGUCGACAGGUCCUUAUGAAAUGGUUCUCCACUGCUGGGGGAGCAGAGGGACCCAGAAUUGCUGCUUCGUAAGCCCACAGGAGCGUUUUGGGGAUAAUCCCAGCAGGUGGCUUCUGAUCUCUGCUUGGACAUCUCCAGUGGCAGAGAAAUCACUCUCCCAAAGCAGUCCAUCCGAUCUCUGCAUGGCUCUGACUGUGCACAGCUCACAGCUCUGUCAUGAUGAAAAACUUUCUCCUACUCUUUGAAUCUG